ACCCCGGUAUUAUUGCUGUUAUGGGUUUGAAUCGAGCUUAGCCUCGUUCAUUUUUUUACACAACACCCCCGUAAAAAAUACAACACGGCCCGCUCAAGCCUGCGGGUAGUGAAGCGAUAUAAGGGCGAAAUUCGCCCUAAAAUGCGUCAAAAAUGCCCUUCAAGCGCUUUUUUGGGGCAA
rnacentral:sRNA from 1 species